UACGUAGGGCGCAAGCGUUGUCCGGAAUUAUUGGGCGUAAAGAGCUCGUAGGCGGUCUGUCGCGUCUGCCGUGAAAACCCGAGGCUUAACCUCGGGCUGGCGGUGGAUACGGGCAGACUAGAGGUAGGUAGGGGAGAAUGGAAUUCCCGGUGUAGCGGUGAAAUGCGCAGAUAUCGGGAGGAACACCGGCGGCGAAGGCGGUUCUCUGGGCCUUACCUGACGCUGAGGAGCGAAAGCGUGGGGAGCGAACAGG
rnacentral:rRNA from 1 species